GGCCACGUUGGGCGGAGAUGCGAGGCGGAAGGCGGAAGAGCCUGUGCUCGGGAGACGGCCACGUGAUCGCGCGCCCGCAGCGCCGAUUGGCCGGACGCUCCCGGGCCACGCCCCAGGGGCGGAGCCUUCGCUGUCCGGCGCCGGCGCUGUCGCGGGGAAAGAAGAGUCCUCGGGCGCCCUUGGGAGCCGCCCCGGUGGGCGUGUUGCUGUCCAGGAAGAAGAGGUUCAGACACAGAGAGGUACAGAGGGGAGACCGUGUGAGGACACAGGGAGAAGACGGCCAUCUAUAAGCCAAGGAGAGAGGCCUCAGAAGGAAACCACCCCUGCUGACACCUUGAUCUCAGCCUUCCGGCCUCCAGAACUGGGAGAAAAUGCAUUUCUGUUGGUUAAGCCCCCCAGUCUUUGCUGCUUUGCUAUGGCAGUCCCAGCAAAUGAAUUUUCCCUCCCUCCCUCUCUCUCUCUCUCUGUCUGUCUCUCUCUCACACACACAAAUGCACACACUGCUUGUGAGAAUCUGUUCCCAGCUCACAAACCUGGAGCUGAAAGACUAUACCAGGGUGCUCUUUCCACUCUUGAUGUCUAAGAAUAGCUCCCUAGACCUUUUACUUCUCUAAAAACUCAUUUUGUGGAAAGAAUAAGCUGAAAUGGUUUUUAUUUUAUUUUGUGAUCUUGGCUCAGGCAGAAGGAGGAAGCGAAUGACCUUUUAUCUGUUUGCUUAUUAUCUGUUCUUAUUUUAGCUGUGCCUAAAAGUGUUUAAAUUAUACUAAAUAUAUCUUUUGCCUUCUCUCUCUUAGAGUUUCACUCCCAAGGCUUUCUGGAGAGGGAGCAUGGUAGAAAGGAAGGAAGCUUUGUUGUCACAGAGAGGUGGGUUCAAACCUUAUGUCUUCUGCUCACUUGUGGGAUGUUGGGUGAGGCACCUAACAUCUCUGAGCCUUUGCAAUUGUGAAAUGAUGUCCCCCCCCUUUUUUUUUGGUGAGGAAGAUUGUCCCUGAGCUAACAUCCAUGCCAGUUUUCCUCUACUUUGUAUAUGGGACACCACCACAGCGUGGCCUGAUGAGCGGUGUGUAGGUCCACGCCCGGGAUCCGAACCUGUGAACCCCAGGCUGCUGACGCAGAGAAUGCAAACAUAGCCACUAAGCUACCGGGCCAGCCCCUGAUGUCCCUCUUGAAGGAUGGGCAUGAGGCUUAUGUGAGAUAAAGCUGUAAUUUGCUUCUUGGCACAUUACAGGCACCAAAUAAAUGCUACUUUCCAUUUUUUUUCUUCUUUCUCCCAACCAUAGUUAGCCAGAAAAAAACAAUUAUGGACUAAAGGAAAUUCCAGUGAAUUGAAUAUAUGUUUAGAUUUGUCUAAAUUAGAAACAUUACUCGCUGCACUCCUAAAUAAAUGUCAUCAGCAGGAGUUCAAAGAGAUGCUGCUUCCAGACUUGGGACGCACACCGCUAAGCUGUUCUGCUCACAGCUGUCGGAGCAUGGUUCUCUCUGCAAAAACAGGCAGUUUCAACAAUUCUAUACGCAUUGUAUUUAUUCAGCAAAUGGCAAGCUGGUGUCCCACCUAGUGGUCAGCGGGAGGUAGCCCAUUUCAAAAAGAGAUGGGAAGACAUUUCAUAUUAUCUUCUGUGGGGCAGAAGCCUGAAGAACUGUUAUCGGUUCAUCCUUUUCUCUCCACUUACAGAGGCCCGGGCAAGGUAAGGCCAAGGUGUGAGAUAUGGCAGUGGGUGUAGAGUACGUGCACGCAGCAUGGCAAUGGUGGGGCUGGUUCCACUUGAGAGAGAAAGAAAGAGUCAUUAGAUAAGAGGCGUACCUUUGAAUAGCUUCUUAAAAUAUGAAACAUUUCAAAUAUGCAGAAAAGUUCAUUACAAUCUUAACACAUUUACCACUCAGCUCUAUUGAGUUCUAACAUUUUGUCACACUUGCAUUCUAUUUCAGAAACAAAACAUCGCAAAUGCUGGCAAAGCUCCCCAUCUACCCUUCCACGGUCCCUUUCUCUUACCUGUCCCCAUCCAGAGGGAACCACCAUCUCCAGUUUGAUGUUUACCUUUAAGGGCAUUUAAAAAUUCUGUGAACAUUCCAUGCGUGAAUCCAUGUUUUCAAAGUUUUUUAUUGAUGUCAUAUUGUAUGUAUUUUUUCUAUCAUAAACAAAUAAUGCAGUAACUCUCUUGUACCAUUUUCCCUGUGGAAUAUCUGCAAGAGCUUUUCUAUUGUUUUCCUAGAAGCAGAACUGCUGGAUCGAAGAGCAAGUAUUUUCUUUCCAGUGAUUGUACCAAAUUUCCCUUCAAAUACUCGUGUGUAAUUUUGGACGAUGACGAAUAAGGCUGCUGUGAACAUUCUGGAACAUGUCUUUUGGUGCACACGGAGAGGAAAUGCUAGGCCCUCGGGCAAGCACAUGUUCAUCUUUAGUCAUGUACUUAGUACUUUCGUACGGUUUAGUCCUUCUUGUGCUGAUGCUGUGGGUGCCCACAGAUCCUCCCUCCACGACCAAACACUGGUUCCCCACCUGUCAGGACGUUGGCUGCUGAUGGCUCUCAGCUGAGACCCCUCCCCAGGCACUGCACUCAGCUGAAGGGAGCUGCCUGGCCAGACAAUGUACCCCUAGCCUGGUGGCAGCCCAGGUGCAAUGACUGAUGGAUGUGAGGAUAGAAAAGUCCAGCCCCCAUGUUAAUUGUGGACAUCUGUGAAGGGCCAUCCCAGCUUCAGAGCUCCCCAAGGGAUCUCCUGGGGUCUCCAUUACAAUGUUGAAUAGAAACAGUGAGGGUGAACCCCUGUGCCUUGUUACCAAUGUGAAGGGGAAAGCAACCUUGAAUUCUUGGAAUAAACUCCUGGAACAAAUUGGUCAUGUGUUAUUAUUUUUAUGUUUUCCCGGUUUCUAUCUGGUGUUAUUUUGUGAAAGAUUUUUGGAUCCAACUUUAUGAGGGAUAUCGGGGGAUCCUUUU
rnacentral:lncRNA from 1 species